rnacentral:rRNA from 1 species
AGUGAACGCUGGCGGCAGGCCUAACACAUGCAAGUCGAACGGCAGCGCCGUGCCAACCCGGGCUGCUCGCGGGGGAAUGGUGAGCGUUUCAUGUGAAUAUCCCUUUCUUUUUUUUCGAAUGUCUUCACGCUUCUGCUCCUACCACCUACUAGCAUCCGCCGCACGUUGGUGAGCGCAGGACCUUACCCCCGUGUGGGAUUCGACGACGGGGUAGCUAGUUGGUUGGUUAAAGGCCCACCAAGCCGACGAUCGGUAGAUGGUCUGAGAGGGUGAUCAGCCACACUGGAACUGAGACACGGACAAGACUCCUACGGGAGGCAGCAGUGGGGAAUAUUGGACAAUGGGCGCAAGCCUGAUCCAGCCAUGCCGCGUGUGUGAAGAAGGCCUUCGGGUUGUAAAGCCCUUUUGUGGGGAAAGAAACGCAUGAGGCUAAUACCUCGCGGGGAUGACGGUACCGGAAGAAUAAGCACCGGCUAACUUCGUG